rnacentral:rRNA from 1 species
GACGAACGCUGGCGGCGUGCUUAACACAUGCAAGUCGAACGGAAAGGCCCUGCUUUUGCUGGGUGCUCGAGUGGCGAACGGGUGAGUAACACGUGUGUAACCUGCCCUUGUCUUUGGGAUAACUUCAGGAAACUGGGGCUCAUACCGGAUAGGAGCUCCUGCUGCAUGGUGGGGGUUGGAAAGUUUCGGCGGUUGGGGAUGGACUCGCGGCUUAACAGCUUGUUGGUGGGGUAGUGGCUUACCAAGGCUUUGACGGGUAGCCGGCCUGAGAGGGUGACCGGCCACACUGGGACUGAGAGGCGGCCCAGACUCCGACGGGAGGCAGCAGGGGGGAAGAUUGCACGAGGGGCGGAAGCCGGAUGAAGAAGCGCCGCGGGCGGGAUGACGGCCUUAGGGUUGUAAACCGCAUUCGCCUGUGACGAAGCGUGAGUGACGGUAAUGGGUAAAGAAGCACCGGCUAACUACGUGC